rnacentral:rRNA from 1 species
CCCUUAGAUUGUCUGGGCGGCACGCGCGCUACAAUGAUGCAUUCAAAAAGUCUUCUGACCUUAGAAGGUUGGGUAUUCUCCAAAGUGCAUCGUGAUGGGAAUAGUUUAUUGCAAUUUUUAAUCUUGAACGAGGAAUUCCUAGUAAGUACAGGUCAUCAACUUGUGUUGAUUACGUCCCUGCCCUUUGUACACACCGCCCGUCGCUCCUACUGAUUGAGUGUCUCGGUGAAUUCGUUGAUCUUCUGUCGAUUCAGUUCACUGAUCCGACGGUGGAAAGUUGAAUGAACUUCGUCACUUAGAGGAAGGAGAAGCCGUAACA